rnacentral:rRNA from 1 species
UGCCAGCAGCCGCGGUAAUACGGAGGGUGCAAGCGUUAUCCGGAAUCACUGGGUUUAAAGGGUCCGCAGGCGGGAUAAUAAGUUAGUGGUGAAAUAUCGGGGCUCAACCUCGGUGCUGCCAUUAAAACUGUUGUUCUUGAGUUUAGUUGAAGUGGGCGGAAUAUAGCAUGUAGCGGUGAAAUGCGUGGAUAUCAGGAGGAACAUCAAUGGCGAAGGCAACUUACUGGACAUUUACUGACGCUCAGACACGAAGGCUAGGGUAGCGAAAGGGAUUAGAUA